CUUGGUCAUUUAGAGGAAGUAAAAGUCGUAACAAGGUCUCCGUUGGUGAACCAGCGGAGGGAUCAUUACCGAGUUUACAACUCCCAAACCCAUGUGAACAUACCUACUGUUGCUUCGGCGGGAUUGCCCCGGGCGCCUCGUGUGCCCCGGAUCAGGCGCCCGCCUAGGAAACUUAAUUCUUGUUUUAUUUUGGAAUCUUCUGAGUAGUUUUUACAAAUAAAUAAAAACUUUCAACAACGGAUCUCUUGGUUCUGGCAUCGAUGAAGAACGCAGCGAAAUGCGAUAAGUAAUGUGAAUUGCAGAAUUCAGUGAAUCAUCGAAUCUUUGAACGCACAUUGCGCCCGCCAGUAUUCUGGCGGGCAUGCCUGUCUGAGCGUCAUUUCAACCCUCAUGCCCCUAGGGCGUGGUGUUGGGGAUCGGCCAAAGCCCGCGAGGGACGGCCGGCCCCUAAAUCUAGUGGCGGACCCGUCGUGGCCUCCUCUGCGAAGUAGUGAUAUUCCGCAUCGGAGAGCGACGAGCCCCUGCCCGUUAAACCCCCAACUUUCCAAGGUUGACCUCAGAUCAGGUAGGAAUACCCGCUGAACUUAAGCAUAUCAAUAAGCGGAGGA
rnacentral:rRNA from 1 species